UACAGAGGGUGCGAGCGUUGUCCGGAAUCACUGGGCGUAAAGGGCGCGUAGGCGGCCUGAUAAGUAGGGGGUGAAAUCCUGCGGCUUAACCGCAGGGCUGCCUUCUAAACUGUCAGGCUUGAGCACAGUAGAGGCAGGUGGAAUUCCCGGUGUAGCGGUGGAAUGCGUAGAGAUCGGGAAGAACAUCAGUGGCGAAGGCGGCCUGCUGGGCUGUUGCUGACGCUGAGGCGCGACAGCGUGGGGAGCAAACAGG
rnacentral:rRNA from 1 species